CCCCUAGAUGUUCUGGGCCGCACGCGCGCUACACUGAACAGUUCAACAAGUCUUAACCUUGGCCGAUAGGUCUGGGUAAUCUUUGAACGCUGUUCGUGAUUGGGAUAGACCUUUGCAAUUAUGGGUCUUCAACGAGGAAUUCCUAGUAAACGCAAGUCAUCAGCUUGCAUUGAUUACGUCCCUGCCCUCUGUACACACCGCCCGUCGCACCUACCGAUUGAAUGGUCCGGUGAAAUCUCGGGACGGCGGCUUGGUCGCUUGCGUCCGACUGCUGAAACUUGAUUAAACCAUAUCAUUUAGAGGAAGGUGAAGUCGUAACA
rnacentral:rRNA from 1 species